GUUCGCCAUUUAAAGUGGUACGCGAGCUGGGUUUAGAACGUCGUGAGACAGUUCGGUCCCUAUCUGCCGUGGGCGCUGGAGAACUGAGGGGGGCUGCUCCUAGUACGAGAGGACCGGAGUGGACGCAUCACUGGUGUUCGGGUUGUCAUGCCAAUGGCACUGCCCGGUAGCUAAAUGCGGAAGAGAUAAGUGCUGAAAGCAUCUAAGCACGAAACUUGCCCCGAGAUGAGUUCUCCCUGACCCUUUAAGGGUCCUGAAGGAACGUUGAAGACGACGACGUUGAUAGGCCGGGUGUGUAAGCGCAGCGAUGCGUUGAGCUAACCGGUACUAAUGAACCGUGAGGCUUAACCUUACAACGCCGAAGCUGUU
rnacentral:rRNA from 1 species